GUGCUUGCUCCAGUAGCACGUACACUAAAACCAGAGUGAUACGGAGGAGAUUAGCACAGCUUCUGUACGAGGAUGACUUGCAAAUUCUGGAUGCAUUCCACAUUUUG
ensembl:snRNA U6 U6 spliceosomal RNA